rnacentral:sRNA from 1 species
CAAAGACAGCGAUUGUUACCCAAUAAGCAGUAGUCACACACUUCUACCAAUCGCCUUAGGAGGGCUGGUUACCAUGGAAUCCACCAUCUGUUCACUCCCCACCGGAAUGUGAUUAUCCUUGCUGGGCUGGGAACUGGGAAAAGCAGGGGAGCCUGUGCUGGGUGAGAUUAUCUGCAAUGGGCUGGGUUAAUGGGAGGCUUGCUUUGGCUCGCUGGAAGAACAAAUGAAGGGAGUUUUACUUCAACCAUUUGUGACUUCUGGCCAAGAGGAAUAAAUUCAGCUUUUAUAAGGCAGCAGUACCUGUCCAAAGAUCGCUUUAGUUCCACCUUGCUCCACAAGCAGCACAGCCACACUGGUUGGUGAGAAUGUAUCUGAAGAAGAGGCUCAGGGAAUAAAUGGGAACAGGCCAGCAAAACACUCAGCUGCAAGUCCAAAGCCACAAGCUCAUUAUCAAAUUAUAGUGAUUUGAAGAAAGAGUCUGCUGUGAACUUAAGUGCUCCUAGAACCCCAGGAAGGCAUGGAUUGACAACCACACCUCAACAAAAACUCCUCUCCCAGCACUUGCCACAGAGGCAGGGAAAUGAUACAGAUAAGACUCAGGGUGCACAGACUUGUGUGGCCAACGGUGUAAUGGCAGCACAAAACCAGAUGGAAUGUGAGGAGGAGAAAGCUGCCACUCUUAGCCCAGAUACUUCUAUUCAAGCUUCUGAACCCUUGCUUGAUAUGCACAUAGUGAAUGGAGAAAGAGAUGAAACUGCCACAGCUCCUGCAUCACCCACAACAGAUAGCUGUGAUGGAAAUGCUUCUGACGGUAGCUACAGGACUCCAGGCAUAGGCCCAGUGCUCCCCCUAGAAGAAAGAGGGGCAGAAACAGAAACCAAGGUACAAGAGAGGGAGAAUGGGGAAAGCCCUCUGGAACUGGAGCAGCUGGACCAGCACCAUGAGAUGAAGGUAGAGCAUGAGACUAGCUCAUAAGCAGGGAAAACCCUGCCUAUUCGAUUGUUGUCUUAAAACUCUUUAUUUAUUGCACCCCUGAAAUGUAUGAAUCAGAUCACCCACACUGGCAGUUAAACGAUUUUCAAGCUCUGGCUGCUGAUGAGCAUUUCCCCUAUGCUCUAAGCAGAUAUUUUACUUUUUCUUUUCAUGUAGUUUCUGUUAAUAUCUCUGUUGUAAUUUCAGGAGUCAGAACAGUGUGGAAACUUUAAUAUAGGAAAUCCACAAAUGUAUUGUUUUUACAUAGAAAGAAAAUGUUCCUUGUUGCUCUAGAUGUUGGUGCUGUAUCCCUAAUACUUAUAGGCCAAGCAAGAAGAAAUUGUAUAAUCUUUCUUGUUCAGAAGUUUCUAAUAGAAUAAAUAGGCCUGUAAGAUGAACUUGCCACUAGUAAAUGUUACUUUUAAGGACAUGAAUAUGGAAGUAUUAAAUUAUUCAACAGAUUAUAA